UGUUAAAAAUUUUAUCAAUUUCUACAGUUAAAAACUAGUUUGACUGACAAAAUAAUCAAACAGAUACAAUUAUUGUAUCAUGUGUAUCUCAUUUAGACGUAUAAGGACUCGCUUUUAACAGUAGAAAUGGAUGAAGACUUCGACA
rfam:Gossypium hirsutum cultivar TM-1 unplaced genomic scaffold scaffold506.1, whole genome shotgun sequence